GACGAACGCUGGCGGCGUGCCUAAUACAUGCAAGUCGAACGCAGUGGGGACGGUUGAGUAACACGUGGGUAACCUCCCAUCAGAGGGGAUAACACUUGGAAACAGGUGCUAAACCGAUAAGGAUGGAUGGACUCGCGGUGGAUUAGCUAGUUGGUGAGGGAACGGCUACCCAAGGACACGAUGCAUAGCCGGCCUGAGAGGGUGAUCAGCCACACUGGGACUGAUACCAGGCCCAGACUCCUACGGGAGGCAGCAGUGGGGAAUCUUCGGCAAUGGACGAAAGUCUGACCGAGCAACGCCGCGUGAGUGAAGAAGGUUUUCGGAUCGUAAAGCUCUGUUGUUAGAGAGGCGGUAUCUAACCAGGAAGCCACGGCUAACUACGUGCCAGCAGCCGCGGUAAUUC
rnacentral:rRNA from 1 species